AGUGGCGGACGGGUGAGUAACGCGUGAGAAUCUGGCUUCAGGUCUGGGACAACCACUGGAAACGGUGGCUAAUACCGGAUGUGCCGAAAGGUGAAAGAUUAAUUGCCUGAAGAUGAGCUCGCGUCUGAUUAGCUAGUAGGUGUGGUAAAGGCGCACCUAGGCGACGAUCAGUAGCUGGUCUGAGAGGACGAUCAGCCACACUGGGACUGAGACACGGCCCAGACUCCUACGGGAGGCAGCAGCGGGGAAUUUUCCGCAAUGGGCGAAAGCCUGACGGAGCAAUACCGCGUGAGGGAGGAAGGCUCUUGGGUCGUAAACCUCUUUUCUCAGGGAAGAACACAAUGACGGUACCUGAGGAAUAAGCAUCGGCUAACUCCGUGCCAGCAGCCGCGGUAAUACGGAGGAUGCAAGCGUUAUCCGGAAUGAUUGGGCGUAAAGCGUCCGCAGGUGGCUGUGUAAGUCUGCUGUUAAAGAGUCUAGCUCAACUAGAUAAGAGCAGUGGAAACUACACGGCUAGAGUACGUUCGGGGCAGAGGGAAUUCCUGGUGUAGCGGUGAAAUGCGUAGAGAUCAGGAAGAACACCGGUGGCGAAGGCGCUCUGCUAGGCCGUAACUGACACUGAGGGACGAAAGCUAGGGGAGCGAAUGGGAUUAGAUACCCCAGUAGUCCUAGCCGUAAACGAUGGAUACUAGGCGUGGCUUGUAUCGACCCGAGCCGUGCCGUAGCUAACGCGUUAAGUAUCCCGCCUGGGGAGUACGCCGGCAACGGUGAAACUCAAAGGAAUUGACGGGGGCCCGCACAAGCGGUGGAGUAUGUGGUUUAAUU
rnacentral:rRNA from 1 species